GGGUCGCAUGUCUAGUAUAAGCAUUAUACAGCGAAACUGCGAAUGGCUCAUUAUAUAAGUUAUCGUUUAUUUGAUAGUACCUUACUACUUGGAUAACCGUGGUAAUUCUAGAGCUAAUACAUGCUAAAAAUCCCGACUUCGGAAGGGAUGUAUUUAUUAGAUUAAAAACCAAUGCCCUCUGGGCUCCUUGGUGAUUCAUGAUAACUCUUCGAAUCGCACGGCCUUGCGCCGGCGAUGGUUCAUUCAAAUUUCUUCCCUAUCAACUUUCGAUGUUUGGGUAUUGGCCAAACAUGGUUGCAACGGGUAACGGAGGGUUAGGGCUCGACCCCGGAGAAGGAGCCUGAGAAACGGCUACUACAUCCAAGGAAGGCAGCAGGCGCGCAAAUUACCCAAUCCCGAUUCGGGGAGGUAGUGACAAUAAAUACUGAUACAGGGCUCUUUUGGGUCUUGUAAUUGGAAUGAGUACAAUUUAAAUCUCUUAACGAGGAACAAUUGGAGGGCAAGUCUGGUGCCAGCAGCCGCGGUAAUUCCAGCUCCAAUAGCGUAUAUUAAAGUUGUUGUGGUUAAAAAGCUCGUAGUUGAACCUUGGGCCUGGCUGGCCGGUCCGCCUCACCGCGUGCACUGGUCCGGCCGGGCCUUUCCCUCUGUGGAACCCCAUGCCCUUCACUGGGCGUGGCGGGGAAACAGGACGUUUACUUUGAAAAAAUUAGAGUGCUCCAGGCAGGCCUAUGCUCGAAUACAUUAGCAUGGAAUAAUGAAAUAGGACGCGUGGUUCUAUUUUGUUGGUUUCUAGGACCGCCGUAAUGAUUAAUAGGGACAGUCGGGGGCAUCAGUAUUCAAUUGUCAGAGGUGAAAUUCUUGGAUUUAUUGAAGACUAACUACUGCGAAAGCAUUUGCCAAGGAUGUUUUCAUUAAUCAGAACGAAAGUUAGGGAUCGAAAGACGAUCAGAUACCGUCGUAGUCUUACCCAUAAACUAUGCCGACUAGGGAAUCGGACGAUGUUAUUUUUUGACGCGUUCGGCACCUUACGAGAAUCAAGUGCUUGGGCUCAUGGGAGUA
rnacentral:rRNA from 1 species